GCUUUCAGCCAUCCUACCAUAUGCUCUGAUCCCAUCACAUCUCACAAGCUAUGUAGGUUUGGGCCAGGACCAUUCUUGGAUGGGAAAUCUCUAAGAAUCACCCAGCUGCCACAAGAA
ensembl:rRNA 5S_rRNA 5S ribosomal RNA